rnacentral:lncRNA from 1 species
UGUUAUUUUAUUGUGACUAUUGAUGGUACUAAUAUAUCACCUCUGAACGUCUUCUUGAGCCGAUGGUCUCUUGGAAACAACCUCUUUGCCCCUCGGAGUAAGGGUAAGAUCUGCAUGCGCAUUACCAUCCCGACACCCCACUAAUGGAUUACACUGGGCUGUUAUCGUUGUUGUUAUUGACCUUAUAAGUUGAGAUGUUUCUUCUUUUUA